AAUCAACGCUGGCGGCGUGCCUAACACAUGCAAGUCGAACGCGAAAGUCCCGCAAGGGAUCAGUAGAGUGGCAAACGGGUGAGUAACGCGUGGGUGACCUGCCUUCGAGCGGGGGAUAACGUUCCGAAAGGGACGCUAAUACCGCAUAACAUCCGACCUUUCAAGAGGUGGAGAUCAAAGCUGCGGAUCGCAAGACGUAGCCCUCGAAGAGGGGCCCGAGUCCGAUUAGCUAGUUGGCGAGGUAACGGCUCACCAAGGCGACGAUCGGUAGCUGGUCUGAGAGGACGACCAGCCACACUGGGACUGAGACACGGCCCAGACUCCUACGGGAGGCAGCAGUGGGGAAUUUUGGACAAUGGACGCAAGUCUGAUCCAGCCAUGCCGCGUGCGGGAAGAAGGCCUUCGGGUUGUAAACCGCUUUUGUCAGGGAAGAAAUCUUCUGGGCUAAUACCCUGGGAGGAUGACGGUACCUGAAGAAUAAGCACCGGCUAACUACGUGCCAGCCGCCGCCGUAACAC
rnacentral:rRNA from 1 species